GCCGGGGUGGCGAAACUGGAGAGACGCGGCGGACUUAAAAUCCGCGGGCCCACAAGGCCGUAGGGGUUCGAAUCCCCUCCCCGGCA
rnacentral:tRNA from 1 species